GGUGAUUUGAAUAACGGACAAAAUGGCGGCCGAGAAAAUAACCGUCUCCCAAGUGGAACAGAGAAACAGAAACCACACGUCCCAAUAGAUGUCACACCUUACCUGCGUCCUGGAUUGUGCAAAAUGGUAUGGGAAUGCAUCACCCUGAUGCCUUCUCAGCCACAAGAAGUGUGAGGUGCCAAAGGAGGGAGACAAACGAGUAAUUAUUUUGAUAGCCACACCAUGACAGAGUGCACAACGGAAUACAGUGAAUUACAGCAUGAGACAGAUAGCUUGGUUCGUGCUGCUUCCCUGGCAAUCCUUUUCAUGGCUGAGGUGGCUGCAAAAGGACAUGGGGUUUGGGACAUCAAUGGAAAAAAGGUAUGUAUAUGGGUGAGUCAUCAAGAAUGGAGUUGUGGAACAAGCAGCUUAGUUCAGUUUAAGAAUGACAGAACUGUACAGCGUGUGACAGAACUGUUUUGUGCUGCACACCAUUAUUCAGCAUGGACUAGAAAAAAAAUCUUUGAAGGGUGGAGUAGUGCCAAAAAUCAUUGUAUCAAGCUGUAA